AAUAAUAAUCGAUCAUCAUCUUCAUUGUUGUUCUUCUAAGUAUUACUACUUGUUGUAUAUAUUUGAACAACCUGAAUAAAUGGCAUACACUUGGCACUCCAUUUCUGUGUACAUGCCUUUAAGUCAACUGAUGAGGUAUGGUGACUCAAUGGAUUUCAUAGUUUUCUAAAGCAAUGAAUACUGAAGCUAUUUUGUUAUUACCGUCUUCUGAAACAUAGCUGAUAGCUCCAGGUAUAUCUGGUGGCUUCCCUCCCACAUACUAAUUAUGUCUGAUCCUGCUUAGCUUUCAAGAUUAGAUUUUUGUGUCUCCCUAGACAAGAAAUAUCAUACUCAGCUCAUAUUGGUCACUAUUCUGCUACAUGACGUUCAUAAUGAUUCAUAUUCCAAUCUUUGACUCUUACAUCACUUUCAAAAUAAUUGCGUUUACCUCAUAUUCUGGAUGAAGACCCAAAUGAGUUCUGUGGUCAUCACAUUGAGUUCAGUAAGGAGUUGAGGUGGCCCAAACUGCUUGUCAGGAGAUGAUCAGGGCAAACAGAUCAUUGUGUGUGUGUGUGUGUGUGUGUGUGUAUGUGUGUGUGUGUAUGUAUGUAUGUGUGUGUGUGUGUGUGUGUGUGUGUGUGUGUGUGUAUAUAUAUAUAUAUAUAUAUAUAUCUCGUAUCAGUAUUAGCACAGCUUAGGCAGAAAUAUAUAUAUUUGCAUGCACGAAGGAAGGGGAGUGGCCAUUCCUGUGUGAAAAAGGAUUUUUUUUCCAGGUUAGACAGUCCUUUGUCCAAAUAAUCUUUUCUGUUUACACUGAAGGAGAGAAGAUUAAAGUACUGCUGCCUGUGCCUUCAGCUGGCAGAAGUAGUUAUUAGGUAUUCGUUAAAUUCAGACAGUUGCCUCAGGCAACGACAUUGAAAGACAGAGGAGUGCAUGCUAACCAGCCUCCUUCAUGGACUUCCUUAAGUGCUGAUGCUGGACUCAAAUGCAGCAAAGGACACUGUGAUGAUGCUAGAUCCAAGUCACCUAAAUGACAUGAUAGACUUUGUAUCAUGUGACAAGAAGCAAUCUGGGCAGAGAUUAAUAAAAUGUUUGGACUGAAUUCUUUUCUUAUCUGCAUAGCAUGGGCCAUCAUGUAAAAGUUCCUCUCUGCAUGCUGAAGACAAGGUGUUGGGAAAUGCGAGAGAUGGCAGUGGAUCUCUGUGGCAGAGUAAUCAAAUUGGCAAGAUUCAGCAUAGAGUAGUAGUUUAUAUUGGACUAGGAUUCUGGAAGAUCAAUGUUCAAAUUCUGCUUGGCCAUGGAAGCCCAGUUGUCUUGGGGGCAGCUAAGAGAGGCUGUGAGUUUCCAUUAUGUGAAGGAACAGUGGAAGAAGUAAAUUCAGCUUGGCAUAAUGUGUAAAACAGCCUUGAACUCGAUACAUCAAAGAAGCAAACCUGCAACAGCCCUCGCCUCCAGUUAUAUUGGAAGUGUUCCACUCAAAAUGCACAUACCUUUGUAGAGUUAAAGCUUUACCCAUUAUCUAUUUAAAUACUUGCUGCUAACUCUGGUGCCCCAUAAGAGUUGGCAUCCACUCUUCUGAAGGGGUCAUCAGAGCAAAUUCAUCAAUCUGACAUUCUUUCUGCUGAAAAAAAGCAUCUCCGUUUUCCCAGAGAUGGGGAAACUCAUCAGCCCUGCUCUUUGAAAAUUAAGGAACAGUUUCUCAUCUGUCAAUCCGGACAGGAGACAGAAUAAUUUGGCCUCCAUUUAUAUGCUAAAUUAUUACAAGGAUAAUAAUGGUGAGGGGGUGGGUGGGAAGAGGGAAAAUAACAACCACACUGAUCAUUUUGGUGCCUGUAAAUGGCUUGCCUUCAAAAGGCGAGGUUAAAGAAAAAUGCAGAUAAAUGCACCAAUUGCUUUGAAAUCAAAACACUUAAGGCCCAGUGUUCAUCAUGCUGCAACUAAUGGCCAUUCAGCGUGAAUGGGAUUGGAUCUCAAAUUGCAUUCAGAUGCAAAUAUUUAAUUGCAUCGGUACCAAAUAAAAUUACAGACCCUGGGCAUUUGUGAAAUGUUUUUUUUCCAUAGAAGUAACAUAGUUAAACUGUAGAGUGUUUGAUGAAUUAAUUUCAUUAUGUUAAUAGACUCCAUAUAAUCCAAACAGCCCACCUUUGGCUUUAAAAUACAGUGGAACUGCCACCGUUUUUCCCCCUGAAGCUUGCAGCGCUAUUGCUGGCACAUCCAGAAAUGAAAGGGAAGAUUAAUUAACCUAGAGAUUUAGUUUUCUUCAGGCUUUCUACAAAUGAAAGGAAGGCAAUAUUCCCCAUGAGCCACAACACGCGUUUCCGUGUGGUACCAUUGCUUAUUGAUCAAGGCGGGAUGAUACACUUUGGUAUAUAGCUCCCAGAGCAUAGAUGCUCUUUUGUUUCAAUGUUCUUGGAGGCACACUGAACAAAGAUCAAAUAUUGUGGUAAGGAAAACAACAGCAGUUCCUUGUUCACAUUUUUCUGAAAGGCAGACCAAAUGAAAUCUGGUGACAGUGAAUCAUCCUGUUUAUUCCUUGAGAUUGAUACCAUAACCCAGACAACUAGGAGUUAGUGUACUUUGAUAUGUUCAUACUAUCCUGAAAUUCUGGAUUAAGAUUACUGAAAUCCAAGAUUUAAAAUACUUUGUAUAAAUGUGCAUCAAAAUUCUUAAUUUGAAUGGGACUCUGUCAGUGCAUUACGUGGGAUUUUUAAAAGUCUACAAAUCGUGGUGUGAUAUUUUAGCAUAAAGUGACAGGGUUUUUUUCAAGGAAAGAUAGCAUGACAUGAGCUAUAGCAGAAAGCAUAAGGGAUAUAGAUUAGAAACUGUAGGAAAAGAGACAGGUUCCCUUCAAAGCACACAAUGUUUUUGAAUUGUACAGCAUGUUGCCAAAAGUGUCUUUCUUAUGUGAGCUUUUAAUAGGGCAUUUUCAUGCAAUUUUAAAAUAAUUUUGCAAGCAAAAGAAGUAGUUUGCUACUCUUGGAAUGAUGUCAGAGAGAAAGAGAGAGUAGAUGUGAGGGAGAGUCAGUUAUUUUGUUUCCAAUAAACAUUUUUAAUUGAGUUGUAUAAAUACAUUUUGGAAUUGUAUAAAACACCUCUAAUAUUGCUGGAAUCUCAAAGAAUUAGAGAAAUAAACAAUGUAAUUGUC